rnacentral:rRNA from 1 species
GCGACCUCAGGUCANGCGGGGCCACCCGCUGAUUUAAAACAUAAA